UACGAAGGGGGCUAGCGUUGCUCGGAAUCACUGGGCGUAAAGGGUGCGUAGGCGGGUCUUUAAGUCAGGGGUGAAAUCCUGGAGCUCAACUCCAGAACUGCCUUUGAUACUGAAGAUCUUGAGUUCGGGAGAGGUGAGUGGAACUGCGAGUGUAGAGGUGAAAUUCGUAGAUAUUCGCAAGAACACCAGUGGCGAAAGCGGCUCACUGGCCCGAUACUGACGCUGAGGCGCGAAAGCUAGGGGAGCAAACAGG
rnacentral:rRNA from 1 species